GCCUGACUGGCUCAGUCGGUAGAGUACGUGACUCUUGAUCUUGGGGUCAUGAGUUCAAGCCCUAUGUUGGGCA
rnacentral:tRNA from 1 species